UUUCUCCCUCCCUUCUCUAUCUAAAAAAAAUCAGUGGAAAAAUAUCCUCGGGAAACCAUGGAUGAAGGACUCAAGUGGCCAAUGAAAAAUGACAAAAUAUGGGGAAAAAGGAGCAUCUGGAAGUGGCCAGUCUGUCAGUUUGGAGGAAGCUCAGGGGAUGUGUCCUCUUCUCUCCCUAGGUAAUAAUUCUUGAACAAGGAGGCCCUUGAGGAACAUUUUGGGACCAUUGAGGAGUUGAAUGGUCCAGAUGCCCUAUCCCACUGAGAACCACUGCCAUCUACAUACACUGUUUACUGGAAAUAGCAGAAACCACCUGGCCCUUUACAACCACUAUGUGUUCCCUCAAGUGUUCUCUGCACUCCUGAUGUACACCUCACCUUACACCCCUUGUCUGACUACCACAUACGACCAACAAUGCUUCAAGAUUUGCCUUACCUACUGGCCCUAAUGGAACUGCUAAAUCGAAAAAGCAUUCAACUCCUACAUGCCAACAAGUACCAUUCUGCCUGUGAACAGUUGAGUGAACAACACAAAAAAAGAAAAUGCAGGAAAAUUUUAUUCAGGGAAUGCAACUCCUAGAGCUUCUGGUUAACCUUUCUGAUGACAAAAGUCAAUCUUAUUUCCCAACACCACGAAAGGAAAGUUUUCAGGAUCCCGAGGACUGGCCUGGAUGAGAAACUCAUCUCUCCAACUAUCAAGGGUUUUGAACGUGUUGGGGGC